rnacentral:tRNA from 1 species
GCUGAUAUGGCUCAGUUGGUAGAGCGAUCCUUGGUAAGGAUGAGGUCCCCAGUUCGACUCUGGGUAUCAGCACCA